UGUCUGCAGCCCACCUCUUCUCUGUACUGAUAACCAGGGAAGGGCACACCGUGAACCCGGGGAUGGGGACAUUUUUCACUGAAGCUAAAGAAAAGCAAAAAGAAAUCUCUGAGCUUCUUCUUGGGUUGGUGAUUAACUGUUGUUCUCUGGUAGCUCUGACAAGGUGUUUAACUAUAAAUCACAUGGGAGGCUACUGAAUUGCAAACCUGCCGUCAUGGAAGGGUGGUAGCUGGAGUCUCUUUUUCCCAGGACUCUGUGGGAUUAAGGAUGUAAUUAAGCUCUUCAGGAGCACCCGGCCUCAGACUGUAACGGGGGCUGGAAUAUGGGAGAGACAGAGUUUUGAUCUCAAUCCUGUUUAAAGUUAUUUCUAAAAAGAAGCCGAGCCUAUGCUUGGAUAAGCAUGUGUUUUAGGGAAUUAUCUGGAUGUAUCUUUGACGUUUUUGUUCUGUUUUGGAGAAAGCUCUUCAAGUAAAGUUUUGAAUAAUAGCUAAUGGGUGUGGACAAUGUUUCAUUGCAAAAGGAGCCAGUUUUUUUUUGCAUCCAGUCGCUUCAUGCUGUAAAAUAUUAAUAUCUAAUAUCUACACCCCACGCCAUCUCUCCAUCCAUUUAAGCAAGGAGGAUUAUCACAAAUCAGGCAAAAUCACUCAAGGAGAGGUAACAGCACAGCUGGUGAGGUGCUUAGUUUGGGGAGAAUCCCAGAGGGCUGGACAGAGUGGCCCUCAGCCUCAGGGCAAGAUGGUUCCUCAGACGCUCCUCUAGGAAUACAGAAAUCUGUCUUAUGUUGCGUCAGUCUCUUGGUCCACCUGGCUCAGGAGCAUCUACAUUGACAAGCAGCUGCUAUCCAGGGAUUCAGGUGGAGAGUCAUUCAAGCCUAGAGAGGUCAGAGCUUAAACCUGGGACAUUCUGGGUGCAAAAGAAAUCCUCUGCCACUGAACUAUGGCCCUUCCCCACAACUGAAUUUCAUGUGCCCCCUAAUGUGUAUCAAUGCAACCCCCUGGGAUUGGGUGUAUGAAAAAAGGCAGGCAGGUGUGGGGCUCGUUGAAGGUAGGAUGAGCUUGGUGGGCCAGUGCCCCAUUCAUCCUGAUGGAGCAGCCUCUGCUGGAGAUAAGCCAAAGGAGGCAGAAGCUGGAUGUGGUUGGAUUGCUGGGAGUACAUUACAACAGUGUUCCAUUGACAUCGCAGCCAAAUUGUACAAAUCCGGAGACCUUAUUCACGCCAACACAUCCAGAAAAGCAGUUCACGCUAGUCACCCAGAGAAGCAGCUACAAUUUCAGGCACUUAUCCAAACAGAAGAGAAUCCCCCGACCUUUCAAGGCUGACCCAUCACCAGCCAUGAUAAAUGGCUGCACUGUCUUAUAGACACAAUGCACCAGCUUUGCGCUUUCCACUGCCUUGGUCAAAGUGGAUAACUUAUGGUCUCAAUUUUCAGCGUCUCGGGCAAUAAAACAUUCACUAAACUCUUCCCGGCCUCUGAUGUUUUGCAGGCACUGAAGACAGCCCUGCUCAUGAGUAAUGGUGUGUCUCGCCGUCUGGAGCAAGGAGGCUUUGGUUAGUUCAGGACUAAGGUUGUUUGCCUUCCUUGAGGUUCCACAUGGGUCAGGCCUGAAGCGUGUCUCAAGUCCCCUCUUCAGAACAUCAGAGUGGUUUAUGUCUUCCCUGGAUUUGAACAGGGCCCAUUUCCAAAAGUCUUGACAGUUGACAAUCAGGGAAUGAUGGUGAUGAAUGUCAAGUUUCCUAGGCGGAAUCUGCUGGUGAGCAAGCUUUCCAAAUAUAAAGUAGAUUCCAAUCUAAAGCAAGGGCUGCCAAGCUCUGCACAUUUCAAUUUUGAAGCAAAUGACAUGGGUGCAAGCCCCUCUGCUCACCUCUCCCCUGGUUGGCCACCAGGACACUGAACGAGAUGGACCACUUGCCUGAUCCCCCAGGGCUCUUCUUAUGUCACGUCAAGCAUUUUGUAAGAAGUGAGAAAUAAAUUCAUCACUGAAGCAACGG